UACCAUGGUUUUAACGGGUAACGGGGAAUUAGGGUUCGAUUCCGGAGAGGGAGCCUGAGAAACGGCUACCACAUCCAAGGAAGGCAGCAGGCGCGCAAAUUACCCAAUCCCGACACGGGGAGGUAGUGACAAUAAAUAACAAUAUGGGGCUCUUACGAGUCUCGUAAUUGGAAUGAGUACAAUUUAAAUCUCUUAACGAGGAACAAUUGGAGGGCAAGUCUGGUGCCAGCAGCCGCGGUAAUUCCAGCUCCAAUAGCGUAUAUUAAAGUUGUUGCAGUUAAAAAGCUCGUAGUUGAAUUUCGGAAUCUGUCCGUCGGUCGGGCUUCACUGUCCGUACUGGUGUGAUGGGUUUCUACCUUCUGAAUAACCGGCAUGUCAUUAAUUUGGUGCGCCGGGGAAGCAGAACUAUUACCUUGAAAAAAUUAGAGUGCUUAAAGCAGGCUUAUGCCUGAAUACAUUAGCAUGGAAUAAUGAAAUAGGACGGCAUGGUUCUAUUUUGUUGGUUUCUAGGAUCACCGUAAUGAUUAAUAGGGAUAGUUGGGGGCAUUAGUAUUCAAUUGUCAGAGGUGAAAUUCUUGGAUUUAUUGAAGACUAACUUCUGCGAAAGCAUUGGCCAAGGAUGUUUUCAUUAAUCAAGAACGAAAGUUAGGGGAUCGAAGACGAUCAGAUACCGUCGUAGUCUUAACCAUAAACUAUGCCGACUAGGGAUCGGACGAUGUUAAUUUUUUAAUGACUCGUUCGGCGCCUUACGGGAAACCAAAGUGUUU
rnacentral:rRNA from 1 species